rnacentral:rRNA from 1 species
CCCUAUGGGGUGCACUGCGGGGAACAUCAAUUCGUGUACAGGGAAUCGUCCGUCCCGAGAACGGAGAACCUAAAGCGGCAUCCCUCAUUUUCGAACCGAUCGUCUAUGAGAACGGGAGGCCGGGCGCAGCUCUCAUUAUCGAGAAUCUUGAAUCCCAUGCAGCGACGAAGGAUAUCGUCGGUGCUUUUUCCGACAUCCUUUCACUUCUCGAUGACGAAAUCGAAUAUGUGGUCCGUUGUACUCCGGAGGGGACGAUCCGUUUUGUCAAUGAGACGUAUUGCACUGCGGCAGGGAAAACCAAAGAGGAUAUGAUGAACCGGCCGUUCCGGCCCCUGGUAUCUGAAGAGGAUGCGGAAAGAAUCCAGCAUCACCUUGCGCAGGUAUCUGUACAAAAAACCGUUGCGUGGAUUGAAUUCAAGGCAGUAUUGGCGGGAGGGC